GCAUUGCCGAUGUUGCCGGGAAGAUGACCAAACUUGAUCAUUUAGAGGAAGUAAAAAUCGUAACAAGGUUUCCGUAGGUGAACCUGCGGAAAGAUCAUUA
rnacentral:ncRNA from 1 species